rfam:Ornithorhynchus anatinus chromosome 1, whole genome shotgun sequence.
CCCCUCUCAGGAUUGCAUCUGGAAAGUUUCCAGUACUCUACCAGUGACAGCUAAGGGAGGGAGAGUCAAAUAGAGGUAUACCCAUUCCAUUUCUAGCUUGGGCAGUGACUAGUGAAUGGAAGGCAAUCUGCUACAAGU